UACGUAGGGCGCAAGCGUUGUCCGGAAUUAUUGGGCGUAAAGAGCUCGUAGGCGGUCUGUUGCGUCCGCUGUGAAAACCCAGGGCUUAACCCUGGGCUUGCAGUGGAUACGGGCAGACUAGAGGCAGGUAGGGGAGAAUGGAAUUCCCGGUGUAGCGGUGAAAUGCGUAGAUAUCAGGAGGAACACCUGUGGUGUAGACAGCUUACUGGACCAUUUCUGACGCUGAGACACGAAAGCGUGGGUAGCAAACAGG
rnacentral:rRNA from 1 species